AGAGUUUGAUCCUGGCUCAGGACGAGCGCUGGCGGCGUGCCUAAUCUAUGCAAGUCGAAUGGUACUUGUACCAUGGCAGACGAGUGAGUAACACGUAGGAAUGUACCCUAGAGUGGAGGAUAACUACUGGAAACGGUAGAUAAUACUCCGUACGCUCUUCCGAUUUAUCGGUAGAGGAAAGAUUUAUCGCUCUUGGAUCAGCCUGCGUCCCAUCAGCUAGUUGGUAAGGUAAUGGCUUACCAAGGCUAUGACGGGUAGGGGGCGUGAGAGCGUGUACCCCCACGGUGGAACUGAGACACGGUCCACACACCUACGGGUGGCAGCAAGUAGGAAUCGUGCGCAAUGGGCGAAAGCCUGACGCCGCGACGCCGCGUGAAGGAAGACGGCCUUCGGGUUGUAAACUUACAUUAAAAAGUCACGGCUAACUUCGUGCCAGCAGCAGCGGUAAUACGGAGGUGGCAAGCGUUGUCCGAUGUUAUUGGGCGUAAAGAGUUCUGUAGGCGGAACUGUAAGUUAUAAGUUAAAGCCUCCGGCUCAACCGGAGAUCUGCUUGUAAUACUGCAGUUCUAGAGUAAGGUAGGGGCUAGCGGAACGUACGGUGUAGUAGUGAAAUGCGUUGAUAUCGUACGGAACACCAAAGGCGUAGGCAGCUAGCUGGGCCUUUACUGACGCUGAGAGACGAAAGCGUGGGGAGCAAAAGGGAUUAGAUACCCCUGUAGUCCACGCCGUAAACUAUGCCGACUAGGAGGUGGUAAUUUAUCACUUUCGUAGCUAACGCGUUAAGUCGGCCGCCUGGGAAGUACGGCCGCAAGGCUAAAACUCAAAGGAAUUGGCGGGGACCCGCACAAGCGGUGGAGCGCCUGGUUUAAUUCGAUGCUAAGCGAAGAACCUUACCUGGGUUUGACAUGCUACUGCAAACCUCCCGAAAGGGAGGAAUCCUUCGAGGGUGUAGCACAGGUGUUGCACGGCUGUCGUCAGCUCGAGUCGUGAGAUGUUCGGUUAAGUCCGUUAUCGAGCGCAACCCCUACUACUAGUUGUAUCACUCUAGUGGAACUGCCCGGGCAACCGGGAGGAAGGCGGGGAUGACGUCAAGUCAGCGUGGCCCUUAUGUCCAGGGCGACACAGGCGCUACAAUGGCUGGUACAAUGGGUAGCAACCUGGCGACAGGAAGCAAAUCCCAAAAAGCCAGUCUCAGUCCGGAUUGGAGUCUGCAACUCGACUCCAUGAAGUCGGAAUCGCUAGUAAUCGCUGGUCAGCCACACAGCGGUGAAUACGUUCUCGGGUCUUGCACACACCGCCCGUCAAUUGGGGGAAGUUGGAAAUACCCGAAGUCUCUUUUUUAAAAGGGCCUAAGGUAGAGCCAAUGACCAACAAUAAGUCGUAACAAGGUAACC
rnacentral:rRNA from 1 species